CCCCCAUGACGUGCUGUCCCAGUGUCAGAGCCAGUGUGAGUAUGAGCAGCAGGGGACUCCGACACACAGACAUCGCAUUGAGAAGGUGGAGUGCAAGGAUAGAUGGCACUUGCUAAGUGGGGGUUAUCUUUAAAUAAGAGGAUAAUUGAGUAUUUCAAAGGCUUUGUUUUAUUGUCUUUAACACAAAAGAUUAGUGAAUAUAUAGAAUAUUGUGGCUGGAAUGAAAUCUCUCAGAAGGAAGAUUGCUUUUUACCAAGUAUAAAAUAUUCUGAAUGACUGAUACACAAAGAAGCACCACAGGUGGAUUUUAGGGAGGAAAUGACAUUGGAAGGACUCAGGAAGGGAGGGCAAGUGAGCUCAGGUCCGAUUAGGAGGCAGGAGCCCUGAGAGGCUGCAGGGACACACAGCCUGCCCUGGGUGGUGUGUCCUGUUCGAUAUGGGUUAUUUCACAUUGAUGAGGUGGCCUGGAGCUAGAAAGCCAUUUUUCCCUGCUCCUGCCUUGCACCCGCUGACCGUCACUCUUUGUCCUCCUAGGUUCCAAGGAGGAGUCCCUGGAAGACAGCAACAAAGGCUCAGCUGAGGACGCUUCCCAGCAUUUGAAGGUUACCUGCGCAGACCAGGAGAAUGGAAGCUCUGAGGACAGCAACUUUUCUGAAACCCAUCAUGACAAAGACUUUGCAAGUGGUGGAGAUGCUUCAGCUUCUGGAGCAGAUAUGGAAGAGCCCAAGUGCGCAGAUGGCCAUCAGCAUGUACCAACAAGUCCUCUCCCGGCACCUGCAGAAAAAGCGAAAGAGACAAACCCUGAACAGGCAGAAGAAAUAAAACCUAGUGAGCUCGAGGAGGAUGAGGAUGCUGAAGAGCCUGACCUGACCUGUUGUGGCCUUUGUAUUUGAUGGUGGAAAUCCCUAAAGGCAAGUGAACGAUGCCCUGAGAACAUCCUCCAGGGAACAGACACCCUCUCCAUAGCAGCCCCUGAGCCCACUGGGCUGAGCCCUCCAUAGGCUGCUUUAAUGAGGGAGGGGCUGAGGUGCUGGUCAGGCUACCACAUGCAGGAUUCUGAGGGCCAUGC